CUAAUGUUUUAAAUAAUAGAAUUACUGAUUCAAAAAUAAAUAGUCCUGGGUUAGGCAGUCCCAGGUCUGGCACAGCUCCUCAUGGAACAACUCUCUUCCUGUCUUCCUCUUCUGCCACAUUUGCUGUGGGGUUUCUGUCCCCAUGGUCCCUCUUUACAGGUGCUCAAAGUGUCUCACGAAUUAAUGAAUACUGAACGAACCAUGAGCACUAUUUCCUGAACUCUCAGGCCAUUCUUGUCUUUGAAUGAGUUGGGGCUCCAGACAAAAUGCGAAGAGAAAAUUAGAGGAGGACUUGUAUUUUUAUUUCCUCCUAGCUCUGAAGAACCUAGACAUUCCAUUUCUGAAAGUGUGGGAAAAAUACCAAAUGGGGCAACAGAGAACCUUCAUCUUCUUUCCACAUUUUUUAAUUCUCUCGAGCAUUCUCCUCAAUUAGGCCAAUCGUUCCUUAAAACGGUCUCCUCCUCCUGGUUCCUCUCUCCAAGAUGGCAAGGGAGCCUGCAAAUUCGGUCUCCAAGGAUCCCUCUGCCCAGAGCAACGAACUCCCUUUGGCAAUAUAGGAAUAAUCUUCAUUCUCCCUUGAACAUCAGAGAUUCCAUAUUAAUACAUGUCCUCUUCUAAUACAUUUCAUCACAUCUUAAGUUCCAUCUCAUUCAAAGGCAAGAAUGACCUAGACGUUGAAAAAGUAAUAUUUGCUGCCACAGUCAUAUUCAGCCUUCAGUCAUGCAUGAGACAUGGCUGAGCACCUAAACUGCAUUGUUCUUCUCUCCUGGAGGAUUCAGAGUUGGGGAAAACAGAAUAAUUUUGGAGUCCACAAGUGCCGUAUUGAAAAUGUUAGUAUGGUUUCACCCAUCGAGGUCUGUGUUGUAGGUCCAGCAUGCAUCUGCUGUGCAAUCUGACUUUGCAUAAGUUGCCAGGAAAACAGUCCUUGGGUUGUAGCUGCGUAAUUCCAAUCUCUGUCUCUGUUGUUAUGUGGCCUUUUCUCUGUGUCUCUGUAUGCCUUCUCUUCU
rnacentral:lncRNA from 10 species